AGUUUUAUCUUGAUUCUCCCCCUAAGGAACAUCAAUUGUCCUAUUACAAUUUAUUAAAAAGCUUAUUAUUUCUCCAGUGAUGUACAACAGCCAGUAGGAUAUUGAGGUGUUCUUCUGUGAUGUAACCACACUCCCCCUCUCCCCCAUCAAGAAGGGGAUAUCUACUUUCCUUCUCUUUUGAUCUUAGCUGGUCCUAUGAGCUGUUCUAACAAAAAAAUGAAUGGAAUGUCCUGCUGUUUAAUUCUGAGGUUGAUUCCUUCAGAGACCUGCAGAUCUUAUUUUCACUGAGGAAUACCCCUUUUGGGAACCUCUUCCUCCUCCCUCCACCAUACUGUAAGGAAACCCAAGUAUCUUUGCAGAGAGGCUCAGAAGAAGGUAAACCAGACUCUCUACUGACAGUCUCAGUUGAGGUGUCAUCUGCCAGACAAUAGCAACUCCAAGCCAUGAGUGAGAAUAUUUUGACUUCCAGUCAUUCCUGUAACUUCAUUCAUACCAGCCACUUUUUCCUCUCGUUACUAUGAAGACUGCCUCCCAGAGACCCGGGCUGUUCACACUGUUCCUGGGUGCGGUUCCCACAUAACCCUGCACGGUGCACUGUGUCCUCCUCUUCCAGUCUCUGAGUUUACCCAACUAAAAAACUGCUGCCAAUCUCACCUUGCCAGUAUGGGAAGCCUUCCAUCGCCGAUAGGGUGAAUAGGAGGCUAGCAAUGUGUGGUACGAUACUCUCUCAUGAGGCGGGACAACAGCAAGCUACAGCUCCCCUCAGCCCCGUAAUCCUCAAGAGAGAGUGCAGUAUGGAGGGACAGAAGAAGAGGGAGAGAGAAACUCAAGCAGAUGAGGCACUGAGUGAGCAUGGAGCCGACAUGGGGCUCAGUCCCAAGACCCUGAUAUCAGAUCUGAGCCGAAAGCAAGAGUCGGACACUGAACUGACUGCGCCACCCAGGAGCUCCAAUAUUUCUUGAAUACAGUACUAAACUAAUGGUUUUCAGACUAAUUUUUAAAAAGAUUUUAUUUAUUUGUCAGACACAGAGAGACAGAAC